GCUUAACGCGAAGAACCUUACCAACCCUUGACAUGGGACGUAUGGACUUCAGAGAUGAGGUUCUUCAGUUCGGCUGGCGUCCACACAGGUGCUGCAUGGCUGUCGUCAGCUCGUGUCGUGAGAUGUUGGGUUAAGUCCCGCAACGAGCGCAACCCUCAUCUUCAGUUGCCAUCAUUUAGUUGGGCACUCUGAAGAGACUGCCGGUGACAAGCCAGAGGAAGGCGGGGAUGACGUCGAGUCCUCAUGGCCCUUACGGGUUGGGCUACACACGUGCUACAAUGGUGGUGACAAUGGGGAGCGAGGCCGCGAGGCCAAGCCAAUCUCAAAAAGCCAUCUCAGUUCGGAUUACACUCUGCAACUCGAGUGCAUGAAGUUGGAAUCGCUAGUAAUCGCGCAUCAGCAUGGCGCGGUGAAUACGUUCCCGGGUCUUGUACACACCG
rnacentral:rRNA from 1 species